UAUUCGCAAAGAUUAUAUUUUAGUUUGCAUUUUGCCUUUAUUGCGUAGUCCCCUUGUACUUCAAAGACCAUUCACCUCUAGCACCAGACUUCUCUGAGCUUCAAAACCAAAUAACCAACUGUCUUUUGGACAUUAGUUUUCAAGUCAAUAAAAAAAAAAGAUCAAUUUCCCAGCAGAAAGAAGAGCAAGAGUAGAAAAAUGCAGAAAACAACUGAAAAUCACGAGCAAAUAUAUGAAAAACAUAGACUGUUCAGAAAUCAAACAAAUACAAGUUGAAACAACAAGUAAAGGACUACGUCUCGGAUGGCAGAAAAGGAACCAGUGUUUUGGACUCCCGGCUAGGGGUCCAAUCGGAGCUGUAGCCACCGGCCUACGCCAGAGCCACAGCAACUCGGGAUCCGAGCCGCGUCUGCAACCUACACCACAGCUCACGGCAACGCCGGAUCGUUAACCCACUGAGCAAGGGCAGGGACCGAACCCGCAACCUCAUGGUUCCUAGUCGGAUUCGUUAACCACUGCGCCACGACAGGAACUCUUGAUGAGGUAUUUUUAACACAGUGUUCGCUUAACCUGCACAGAAACUGAAUACUGAAAUGCACCAAAAUGGCAUGCUUUGUCUUAGUCGCUGAGGGUUUCCUGCUUUUUGAUCUACAAGGAGAUUAUUUUGUGCAUAAAUUCAACUACAACUCUUCUUAGGAACAAUGACAAAAAUCACAGGAACGGGGCAGGAUGAAGGCACACGAAAUCAGUUGGGCUUAAUUUGGAAUUUUUUAGCAAUUUCAUCCCAAUAUCAGAAAGUAGGUUAUGGUCUCAGGUAUCACACUUCUUUUGCAUCCUUGUUUAUAUCCUGCAGUCAAAGUGGAACUUGUUAAAAUAAUUUCGUAAGAAUGUAAACAAAACAAAAUGAUGGGACCUACCAUCCCACCUACAGAAGCAAUCACUUCACCAUGUUAUAUUUUCCUCCGGUUUAAUUUCUAUGCACUUUAUGUUGCUGACAUCACAUUGUAUGAAUAAAACCAUCCUAUACGUAUUUGAACAACAAACAGACAAAAGGUAAAGUAUUAUUUUUCCCCAACGAAAUUGAUGACAUUUUUAAGAAAAUGAAAACACUAAUGUUUGAUGGUAGGAAGGUCAAGAGAUCUCCUACACAACUCUUAGCAAUAUAAACUGUGGGAGAUGGAACAUUCAGACAGACAAUGGCCAGACCGUAUAUGAAAACAGAACACUGACCCACACCUGCAGCAACCUGCCCGGGAAAUCAACCCCUUACCAACAGCCCAGGAAACCUGGCUGCUAUUAAAUCAGACUUAUAGGCAGUCAGACUGCUGUCUAGCAACAGCCAGGAAGCCAAACAGUAAUUUCUGUAACAACUGACUGAAAGUGGCCAAGACUUGAUUAAUAACUGACAGCUUCCCUAAUUUUCGCCCCUGCUUCCAACUUAGAACCUGAAAAAGCUAAAUAUGCAUUCUUAGCCAAUUUCAUAGCAUUUCUGGCUUCCGGUGGUUCACUUAUGGCUUCCCCGUGCCAACAGCCUCUAAUCUGUGUGUUCCCAGAAGCCUUCUCUUUUCCCACCGUGAAGUUUACCACGCCUCUGCUUGUACCUGUGUCUCUGCCAAAACGCCAGUGACGGUGGCUGAUUUCCAUGCUGGAGCAGGCUCUGAAUGAAUAGCCAUGGCUUUUCUCAUCUGGUUAUUGCUGUAUUUGUUUCUAUAAUGGAUACCGCCUUUCAUUAGCACACCUACCAAAAUGAUGUACGACGACGUUAAUUAAAUGUACUCAAAGUAUGCAACCGAAAAAGAGUUGAUUAUAUAAACUACGGUAUUUUCACAGAGUGCGAUUUGAUUGUGCACCAUUAAAUUAUAUAU
rnacentral:lncRNA from 1 species